rnacentral:rRNA from 1 species
UUUCGGGGUACACGAGCGGCGAACGGGUGAGUAACACGUGGGUGAUCUGCCCUGCACUUCGGGAUAAGCCUGGGAAACUGGGUCUAAUACCGGAUAUGACCUCCUAUCGCAUGGUGGGUGGUGGAAAGAUUUAUCGGUGCAGGAUGGGCCCGCGGCCUAUCAGCUUGUUGGUGGGGUAAUGGCCUACCAAGGCGACGACGGGUAGCCGACCUGAGAGGGUGACCGGCCACACUGGGACUGAGACACGGCCCAGACUCCUACGGGAGGCAGCAGUGGGGAAUAUUGCACAAUGGGCGAAAGCCUGAUGCAGCGACGCCGCGUGAGGGAUGACGGCCUUCGGGUUGUAAACCUCUUUCAGCAGGGACGAAGCGCAAGUGACGGUACCUGCAGAAGAAGCACCGGCUAACUACGUGCCAGCAGCCGCGGUAAUACGUAGGGUGCAAGCGUUGUCCGGAAUUACUGGGCGUAAAGAGUUCGUAGGCGGUUUGUCGCGUCGUUUGUGAAAACCAGCAGCUCAACUGCUGGCUUGCAGGCGAUACGGGCAGACUUGAGUACUGCAGGGGAGACUGGAAUUCCUGGUGUAGCGGUGAAAUGCGCAGAUAUCAGGAGGAACACCGGUGGCGAAGGCGGGUCUCUGGGCAGUAACUGACGCUGAGGAACGAAAGCGUGGGUAGCGAACAGGAUUAGAUACCCUGGUAGUCCACGCCGUAAACGGUGGGCGCUAGGUGUGGGUUCCUUCCACGGAAUCCGUGCCGUAGCUAACGCAUUAAGCGCCCCGCCUGGGGAGUACGG